rnacentral:ncRNA from 1 species
CGACCUCAGGUCAGGCAAGACAACCCGCUGAGUUUAAGCAUAUCACUAAGCGGAGGAAAAGAAACUAACAAGGAUUUCCCUAGUAGCGGCGAGCGAAACGGAAAGAGCCACACUAGCCAACCCAUACCCAGGAUUACGAUUUCGCGGAGCCUGCCGUCUGGCGGGCGUCGGUGGCGAGGCUUUUUUU